UACGGGGGGAGCAAGCGUUGUUCGGAAUCACUGGGCGUAAAGCGCGUGUAGGCGGAUCGUUAAGUCGGGGGUGAAAUCCUGAGGCUCAACCUCAGAACUGCCUUCGAUACUGGCGAUCUUUGAGUCCGGGAGAGGUGAGUGGAACUCCUAGUGUAGCGGUGAAAUGCGCAGAUAUCAGGAGGAACACCAAUGGCGAAGGCAGCUCACUGGGACGGUAUUGACGCUGAGACGCGAAAGCGUGGGGAGCAAACAGG
rnacentral:rRNA from 1 species